UACGUAGGGCGCAAGCGUUGUCCGGAAUUAUUGGGCGUAAAGAGCUCGUAGGCGGUCUGUUACGUCCGCUGUGAAAACCCAGGGCUUAACCCUGGGCUUGCAGUGGAUACGGGUAGACUAGAGGCAGGUAGGGGAGAAUGGAAUUCCCGGUGUAGCGGUGAAAUGCGCAGAUAUCGGGAGGAACACCGGUGGCGAAGGCGGUUCUCUGGGCCUGUACUGACGCUGAGGAACGAAAGCGUGGGGAGCGAACAGG
rnacentral:rRNA from 1 species